GACGAACGCUGGCGGCGUGCCUAAUACAUGCAAGUAGAACGCACAGUUUAUACCGUAGCUUGCUACACCAUAAACUGUGAGUUGCGAACGGGUGAGUAACGCGUAGGUAACCUGCCUGGUAGCGGGGGAUAACUAUUGGAAACGAUAGCUAAUACCGCAUAAUAUUGAUUAUUGCAUGAUAAUUGAUUGAAAGAUGCUAUUGCAUCACUACCAGAUGGACCUGCGUUGUAUUAGCUAGUAGGUGAGGUAACGGCUCACCUAGGCGACGAUACAUAGCCGACCUGAGAGGGUGAUCGGCCAAACUGGGACUGAGACACGGCCCAGACUCCUACGGGAGGCAGCAGUAGGGAAUCUUCGGAAAGGGACGAAAGUCUGAACGAGCAACGCCGCGUGAGGGAAGAAGGUUGUCGGAUCGUAAAGCUCUGUUGUAAGAGAAGAACGGGUGUGAGAGUGGAAAGUUCACACUGUGACGGUAGCUUACCAGAAAGGGACGGCUAACUACGUG
rnacentral:rRNA from 1 species